rnacentral:RNase_P_RNA from 1 species
CAAGGUAAGCGGGCAAUUGCCUCUUGAAGAACCUUUAUGGAGAAAAGGGGAGGAAAGUCCGGACAUCAUCCCGCCUCGGCGGGAUAAAUAAGUGGGUAACGCCCACCGGAAGUAAUUCCAGGGAAAGUGCCACAGAGACUAUACUAAUCCCGCCACGGCGGGACAAAAGGUGAAAAGUUGCGCGGUGAUUAUGUUAUGUUAGGAUAUCCUCAUAACGUAGUCUGCGCGCUUUCCGCACUGGUGACAGUGACGGACGGUAAACCCUUGUUGAUGCAAGAGCAAACCCCACUGCGCUCUGACUACGUCCGAGCUUCGCGAGACAGAUCCAACUUUAUAGAUGAAGGGGACUCGUCCCGCGUAGCUUUGGCAUAGCCAAAGCGUAGUGGGAGGAACGUAGCUCGCUUGAGUCUGACAGCAAUGUCAGGUCUAGAUAAAUAAUUGCCCCUGCUUCGUUACGUCUUUGACGUAAUUUCGCAAGGCAAGCCCUCAAAAUAAAUAGGGGACUUGUCCCGCGCGCAGCUCUGUAAAACCAGAGCGUAGUGGGACAGAAUCCGGCUUAUAGCUUGCCUUGGUUU